AGUGGGGAAUAUUGCGCAAUGGGCGGAAGCCUGACGCAGCGACGCCGCGUGAGGGAUGACGGCCUUCGGGUUGUAAACCUCUUUCAGCAGGGACGAAUUUUGACGGUACCUGUAGAAGAAGCACCGGCCAACUACGUGCCAGCAGCCGCGGUAAUACGUAGGGUGCGAGCGUUGUCCGGAAUUAUUGGGCGUAAAGAGCUCGUAGGCGGUCUGUCGCGUCGAAUGUGAAAACCCGGGGCUCAACUCCGGGCUUGCAUUCGAUACGGGCAGGCUAGAGUUCGGUAGGGGAGUCUGGAAUUCCUGGUGUAGCGGUGAAAUGCGCAGAUAUCAGGAGGAACACCGGUGGCGAAGGCGGGACUCUGGGCCGAUACUGACGCUGAGGAGCGAAAGCGUGGGGAGCGAA
rnacentral:rRNA from 1 species